rnacentral:lncRNA from 1 species
UUAUUAAGCAUCAAAUGCAUGUCAGGCAAAAUUCUAGGCCCCAGGGAUACAGUAGCAGACAAGAUAGACACAGAGUUUCUGUUCUAGUGGUAGUAGACAAACAAGAAUCAAAUAAGCCAAAAAAGGAGGGUAAAUCACAGACUUUGAUAAGUGGUAUGCGGAAAAUUACAGUGGUAGUGACGUGAAAUUGAGUGGAAGGUCAAAGAAGGUGUCUGAGGAGGUGACCCUUCUUUGUGAUCCGAAUGAUGAGGAAACCAGCUCUGUGAAGAUCAGAAGGACCAGCCUGUACAAAGGCCCAAAGUUGGGAAGAAAGUAAGUGAAUGGGAGGCACAGAAAGGCCAGCGUGUCUGGAUGAAGGCAACAAUAGCAGGAGUUGAGCUGGGAGAGAAAAAUAGGGGCUACAUCACAUAGGUCAGGAAGAGGAGCUUGGAUUUGAUCCCAUAUGCACGGGAAGCCGCUUGAUGCUGAGGUGAAGAUGGGCAGAAAAAUGAACCAUCAAAAAAGAAGAAGGAGGAUCAAUGCAUGACUCAUGAAUCAGUCUUGCUUUACUGAAAAGUUUCAGAAAACUCAAGAUUUUCUUCAUGCACUCAAUUUGUGGUAAUACAACCUCAAGCAAAUCGUAUAUUUAUCUGAUAUGUGCAUGCUGGAAACUUUCCGUCUCAUACUUUCCAGAAUCUCAGGACUCACCCAGCACAAGAGGGGGCUGGAAUUUGGAAAACAUAAGAUUGAUUUUAAACCUAAAGACUCAGUGAAGAUUUCUGUAUCUGAAUCUCUCUGCCUACCUAUUAAAUGUUGUUCCCAGGGAGAUCAGCUCCAACUGGAACCAGAGUGAAGCUUCUAUUCCCCUAUCCAUGGACAACACCUUCACCCACCUAGGCAUCUAGACAUCUAGACACAGACCUAUGUCCCACCUAGAGAUCUAGGCACUGAGACAUCUAGAUACCUAGAUAUGUCUAGACAUCUUCCCAGCAAAAAAUCCCAAUCCAACUCGCUCCUGGUCAUUCCUACUUGGAUGUCUCACAGACACUUCAAAAUCAAUGUUGUAAACGAAAUUAAUCCUCUAUCUCCUGACCCUCAAUGGCCCUCCCUCAUCAUUUGUGUCUUGCAGAAUGACCCCACCAUUCACCAGUUUUUCCAGCUGAAACCCAGGAGGCCACAACAGGAUUUGAGCGGCCUAUAGAGAUCCAAAUGCUACUGACAGCAGCACUGAGGGCCCACUCAACUGCAGGAUGAGGGGCCCUGGCAUGACAGGUACUCCUGAUGAGUACUUUAGCCAUCCUGCUCCAAACUGCUUCACUCGCUUUAUCCCUGCAAUUGCCUAAGAUAACAGUCCCCAGAACUGAUUAGCCAGUUUCAUCUAAGGUGGGGUCCGCAAACUGGUUAAUUUUCCAAAUAAAGUUUUAUUGGGACUCAGCCACACCCA